GAGAGAGAGAGAGCAUGCACACACACACACACACACACACAUACACAGCUUCAGGAGCACAUUCUUACACGCCACAAAGCAGUUGCUUGGACGACCGAAGACAGAACGAAAGACGGGAAUCACAACACAGAGGAGAGGAAAAGGAAGAAGAACGAGAGUGGGUGGGGGGAAAAAAAGAUCUCCAGGUUCUGGGUGUUAAAAAGUGUUUGUUUCGAGACAGGAUUGUGUGAAGAUCAUCUUCUUAAAGAUUAAAAUAUUCCUUUCUUUUAGAGAGAUCUUGUGGGGGAGAUUACUACAAAGCAAGCAACUCCUCCAGCAGCAUCCUGUGCAAUAAAGAAUUUAUACUCUACAGUAGCGAAAGCCUCCACCAGAUGUUAAACUGUGAGUCCAUGGUGCCGACAGAUGCUGCAUUGCACCUCCUGAGGUGUUUAUAGACAAACAAAUGCCUCUUUUAAAACUACAUUCUCCUUCAAAAAGUCUAGACACAUUAAGCUGAUUGGUGCCGGUGUGGCGCCCUGCUUUGAGUGCAGGCUUUUUGGUGUAUCUGGACGAGUGAAUGGAUUCAUAUUACUGCAAUAGCUGGAAGAAAUGUAAGCUGCAAGCCGUUCAAUAACUGUAAGAUUUUCUUAGUAUAGUGAAAGAAUUGACCAGACAUUCUGCUCACACAUCAUAUAUUUCAUAUAAAUAACUUAAAACAAUAACAUAGCAGUAUUUUGGCAGUCACAGAUCUUAAUUUGUGAAUCCAUUUAACAUCUCAUGCUUGAAACCUGAUCACAUCCACCCCUAUGAAAUAUAUGAAAUAGUCACAUCAACAGGAAGUUC
ensembl:lncRNA